AGAGCUAUGGCUCAGUGGUGGAGUAUCUGCUUUUCAUGCAGAACGUCGUUGGUUCAAUCCUCAGCAUCUCCA